CUACGGGAGGCAGCAGUGGGGAAUAUUGGACAAUGGGGGCAACCCUGAUCCAGCCAUGCCGCGUGAGUGAAGAAGGCCUUCGGGUUGUAAAGCUCUUUCAGAUGCGAAGAUGAUGACGGUAACAUCAGAAGAAGCCCCGGCUAAUUUCGUGCCAGCAGCCGCGGUAAUACGAAAGGGGCUAGCGUUGUUCGGAUUUACUGGGCGUAAAGGGCACGCAGGCGGUCUUGCCAGUCAGGGGUGAAAGCCCGGGGCUCAACCUCGGAACUGCCUCUGAUACUGUAAGACUUGAGACUAGGAGAGGGUGGUGGAAUUCCCAGUGUAGAGGUGAAAUUCGUAGAUAUUGGGAGGAACACCAGAGGCGAAGGCGGCCACCUGGACUAGAUCUGACGCUCAGGUGCGAAAGCGUGGGGAGCAAACAGGAUUAGAUACCCUGGUAGUCCACGCCGUAAACGAUGAGUGCUAGUUGUCGGGACUUCGGUUUCGGUGACGCAGCUAACGCAUUAAGCACUCCGCCUGGGGAGU
rnacentral:rRNA from 1 species